GAUGAACGCUGGCGGCGUGCCUAAUACAUGCAAGUCGAGCGAAUGGAUUAAGAGCUUGCUCUUAUGAAGUUAGCGGCGGACGGGUGAGUAACACGUGGGUAACCUGCCCAUAAGACUAGGAUAACUCCGGGAAACCGGGGCUAAUACCGGAUAACAUUUUGAACCGCAUGGUUCGAGAUUGAAAGGCGGCUCCGGCUGUCACUUAUGGAUGGACACGCGUCGCAUUAGCUAGUUGGUGAGGUAACGGCUCACCAAGGCAACGAUGCGUAGCCGACCUGAGAGGGUGAUCGGCCACACUGGGACUGAGACACGGCCCAGACUCCUACGGGAGGCAGCAGUAGGGAAUCUUCCGCAAUGGACGAAAGUCUGACGGAGCAACGCCGCGUGAGUGAUGAAGGCUUUCGGGUCGUAAAACUCUGUUGUUAGGGAAGAACAAGUGCUAGUUGAAUAAGCUGGCACCUUGACGGUGCCUAACCAGAAAGCCACGGCUAACUACGUGCCAGCCGCCGCCGUAA
rnacentral:rRNA from 1 species